GAGUAACACGUGGGUUACCUGCCCCGAUGACCGGGACAACCCGAGGAAACUCGGGCUAAUACCGGAUGUGCCCGCAAGGGGAAAGGGAAGCUUCGGCCUCCGCAUCGGGAUGGGCCCGCGGCCCAUUAGCUUGUUGGUGAGGUAACGGCUCACCAAGGCUUCGAUGGGUAGCUGGUCUGAGAGGACGAUCAGCCACACUGGGACUGAGACACGGCCCAG
rnacentral:rRNA from 1 species